GCCAAGGUGGCGGAGCGGUCUAACGCGUCGGUCUUGAAAACCGAUUCCCUCACGGGAGCACAGGUUCGAAUCCUGUCCUUGGCG
rnacentral:tRNA from 1 species